rnacentral:rRNA from 1 species
CAUGUAGGCGGUCUUGUAAGUCAGAUGUUAAAUCUACGGGCUCAACCCGUAGCCGCAUUUGAUACUGCUUGACUAGAGAAUGCUAGAGGAAAGCGGAACUUCCAGUGUAGCGGUGAAAUGCGUAGAUAUUGGAAGGAACACCAGUGGCGAAGGCGGCUUUCUGGGGCAUUUCUGACGCUGAGGUGCGAAAGCUAGGGGAGCAAAC